rnacentral:lncRNA from 1 species
AAAAUGAAACCAGUUGAUAAUUACCGAAUUCACUAUCUUGAUUACUAUAUACGCAAACCCAAAUCAAGAAAUUACCAAUCUCCCUCAUACCGAACCGCAUUUAACUUGCUCCGCCUCAGGAAUCUUGACAUACCCAAUUUUCUUCACAUCCUCCUCCUCAUCAUCACUAAAAUCUCCAUCAAAAUAAUGACUAUAGCGCGGCUGCGAAGGAGAAAAAAAAGACCAAACCAAGUACAUCGUAGCUGCGGUAAGAGCACCACAACCGACACCAAAAAGCAAAGCAACCACCACGCUAAGAAUAUCCUUAGUACGAUCACGCAACGAACUCAAAUCAUAACCACCAAAUCCAGGCCAAACCGACCCCACCUGGGCGGUUUCUUGAAAACCCUUCUUGUCAUGAAUUUCUUGGGAUUUC